rnacentral:rRNA from 1 species
UACGUAUGGAGCAAGCGUUAUCCGGAUUUACUGGGUGUAAAGGGAGUGUAGGUGGCCAGGCAAGUCAGAAGUGAAAGCCCGGGGCUCAACCCCGGGACUGCUUUUGAAACUGCGGGGCUAGAGUGCAGGAGGGGCAAGUGGAAUUCCUAGUGUAGCGGUGAAAUGCGUAGAUAUUAGGAGGAACACCAGUGGCGAAGGCGGCUUGCUGGACUGUAACUGACACUGAGGCUCGAAAGCGUGGGGAGCAAACAGG